rnacentral:lncRNA from 1 species
UUUUUUUUUAUUUUCUUUUACUCUUAAUGAAAUACUCUGGGCUAUGAAAUUUGUGGCUUUUUAAUAGUUUUUUUAAUUAUAUGAUUUUUAUUAUUUGAGGAAAAAAACUUAAACUGUUUCUUACAAAAAUAACACCUAAGUACCAUUCAAACAUAACCAAAACGACAAAAAUGGCAAUGAUUGUAAUAGAAACAAUUACUCCCGAAAUCUUAAAUCCAAUACCGGAUUCUGCAUCUUAACAGGAAAUAACAAAUCAUAAUGUGCCUAGGGGGAAUAGGCAAAGAUGGUAUCAGAAAUGACUCAGCUGAAGCAGUUAUAGGUGUUAAGUAUGAAACUUAAGACAUGAAACAGAAAGAAUAUAUAGUGUACAGACGCCAGAAUGUGGCUGAUUGUCUUUAAUUCCUAGCAACAUCAGUGUGUGAUCAAAUACAAUGUAUGUUAAUCUCUCUGUAAUUUAGUUUCUUCAUUUGCAAAACAGUGAUAAUAAUAAUACUCACCUCUUAGGGUCCUGAGAACUCAGAGUUCCUAUAUAUAUAUAAAGCACUCAGUUCAGUGACUAGCACAAAGUAAAUGAUCCAAAAAAUGUAGCUCCCAGAGAAUUGAAAGCAGUUAUUCAAACUCUUGUACAUGAAUGGUCAUAGUAGUACUAUUUACAAUAGCCAAAAGGUAGAAACAACUCAAAUGUCCAUCAACAGAUGAAUACGUAUAGAAUGUUUUCAGUCAUAAUAAGGAAUGAAAUGCUGAUAAAUGCUACAGUAUGGAUGAAUCUUAAAAACAUGAUGCUAAGUGAAAGAAACUGGACACAAAAGGUGCUGUAAGAUUCUGUUUAUUUGUACAAAAUAUCUAGCAUAGGUAAAUCCAAUAAGACAGAAAGAAGACUGGUGAUUGCUGGGGUGAGAAGAAGGAAUGGGGAGCAACCAACCACUUAAUGGAUGCUGGAUUUUAUUUUAAGGUGAUGAAAAUAUUUUGGAAAGAAACAGAAGUAGUCUUUGCAUAAUAUUGUGAGUGUGGUAAACCCAAGUGAAUUGUUCAUGUAAAGAUGGUUAAUUCUACAUUAUGUGAAUUUUACCUUGGUAAAUAAAAAAAUUAGAUAAUAGUCAUAAUAAUGAAGGACAAAGGUAAGCUGUUGACAUAUUUUUCCUUCUUCUCCACCUUUGUGGAUGAGGAACUCAUUCCCUUACAUAAGGCAACCCAUUCCAUGUCCAGGCAGGUCUGGUGCAAAGAUCAGUGUUAGUAUUUAAUAAAAAGCAAAAACACAAAAUUUAAUUUUUCACACUUUUUGGAGGUGCCCUACUCCUUUACUGACAAAAAUCUAAAACUUUACUACAAAAAUGUCCUCCUCUUCUCACCUACUACCAGAGGUGAGAAGAUUACUGAAGAGCGGCACCUGGCUAGAUCAGUCAGUAGAGCAUGUGACUCUUGAUUUCAGGGUCCUAAAUUUGAGCCCCACAUUGGGUAUAGAGCUUACUUUUUAAAAAUUUUUUAAAAAGAUUACUGAAGAGAUUUCCAAUUUGGAAAGCAUACAACUUUCCAAGGGCAUUUCCCCUCAGAAAAAGACUAAGGAAGUAGGCAAGGACCUACUCUCUCCCUGUUCUGUCUUUCUUCUUUGUACUGUAGUUUCAACACCUCAACUAUUUCUGUAAUCCACUCUUGAUAAUGAUCAUCUUGGAGGCCCGACAUUCAACCAGAGUGGCUGUAACAAGUCAUUACACUUGUCCUCGCCUUUAGAACAAUCAAUAACCCCAAAUGAAGAGUAAUGGUCAUUAUAAAGCCAAACAAAGGUUGAUGAUCCUUCCUUAUUGAUAUUAAAUUUUUCUACUGCUUCCUGCAUAUUUGUCUGCUACUGCCUUGUUGCGUUCAGCAGCAGCCCCUUCCUGGCAGGACUUACAAGUCCACCCCUACCUUCGUGUGAGUCUCAUACAUAUCCUUUGAGCAAUCCUGCAAUGAUUAGUUGCUUCCACAUCAUAUUAACAGAUUUUAUUGUUGUCUUUAAGAUGACAUGUGCUUGAUAUUGAGUAAGUUAGUGAAUGCUUUUAGUUUUUAGUCUUUUAUCACCAAAUACACUCAAGGCUCUCUUUUCUCCUCUACUUCCAGCAGGCUUACUACAUCUCUUAUUUGCCCACUGCUCAUACUCCUGAGUGGAAUAGCUCUAUGUUAAUCUCACUUCAGUAUAAAUCCAAAAGGUUUUUUAAAUGUUUACACAUUCAGCCAAUCAGUCAUGAAAUAUUUACUGAGUAUCAAAAUGAUAUAAUAUAGCAUAGAGAUAAGAUCAUUAAUAAAGUAAAAAACAAGCAUAAAGAUUUUUAAAUUAGAAAGACCUAGACUUGAAUUCUGGCUCUGCCAUUUCUUGCUAUGUAAGAAGAAAUUAACUUCCUUCAUUCCCAAGUUUCUUGUUUACAAUAUGAGCUAAUUAUAUUUACUUGCUCAGAAUGUUAUGAGAUACAGAAACACAUGUGCAUAAAACACUUAAAUAUUUUCCAUACUUUUUUCAUAUUCACUCUAUGAAAGUGUGUUUUUUCUUUACCAAAUAACUUCAAACUUUAACUAGCAUUUAUAAAUAUAUUUUCAUACAAUUUAUGUUUCAAGUCAAAUCAUCCUAAUGAUUUUUGAUCUUAAUCAAACUAUAAUUCACCUAUAUACUUAUUAUAGUUUUGUUUAUUUUAUAAUGGCAACCUUCAAGUUAGACAUACUUGUCUAUGUCUCUCAUGCAUUAUGAGUAAAUCCAUAUUUAUUUCAUAAGCAAAUAAGUGUACUAAAAUAAAAACCUUUCUGAACUCACAUCCCUUGGAUUUUUCAUUUUGUAUUCUUAAUGACAGAGAGAAAAGAACAUGAAGUGUGAAAUAUAUUUCUUAGCUUUACCUCUGAAAAGCUUUGUGAUCAUGGAUGUGGUAUUUAAACCCUUUAAACCUCAGUUUCUCAUCUUUAGAAUAUACUUGAUUACACUUUGCCUCACUACUUCAUUUAUUUCUUGUAAGAUGGGGUUUUAUGUACGCAGAUAUGCUUUAUAAACAUUAAAAGAAAAAACUUAUCUUUAUUUUUUGAGAUUUUUGCUAUUUCUUGAUCAUUCUUUUGAAUUUAGUAGCAAAUAAAUGAACAUCUUUCUCCUAAAAAUAUUUUUGAAUAAUAUUUAUAUUAUUAAUAGAUUAAUUUGAAAAGUUCCAGACACUUUUUUGAUUCUAUAACUUGAUUCUGACUUGAUUGACUUUUUUUCUUGGUAAAUUAAUCACAUAAUUACAAACUAGUAGAUUAUUUUAUGUAAGAAGAUUGUGCCACAAAUUAGGUCACUGUCAUUUAUCAUUACCAUUUCUUCUCAAAACAUAUCAAAUCUUACGAUCUGUUAACACCCAUCUCAGUGUAUAUCAUUUUAUUUUCCUCAAAUGAACAUUAUGAAUAAUUGCAAAGAUCUAAUCAGAAAAAAAAUUAAAAAUUCAUUGUAAAGCACAACCAUGAAUAUCUACAAUGAUCAUGUGCAGUAAAACAUCAACACAAAAAGAGAAUGUUUGUCUAGAGAAGAGGGGAACAGGCUUAUUUGGGAUUGCCUUUUUCAUAAGCUGAGACUUUAUAUGACCUUUUCCUGCCAUUGUUUCAUAUUUGUUGUGAUCUUAUCUUCAUAGGAGGAUGAAGAGAUAAGCUGUUUGAUUAAAGAUUGUUUCUUAUAUACUCCAUUAUAUUCUAAUCCCUUUCCCCUUCCAAGUCCAUCAAGGGCAUAAAUAGACAUGACUGAUUCUAAAGGGAUAGAAGCCUGACAAUCAUGAAAGAUAAAUACCAAUUCGGUGAAGAGUAUAAGACUAAAAAUAUGGAUGUAUUUAAGUUUUAGAAACCUCUGCCGGAGCCUCCCCACCCCCAAUGUAAUGUACUAGGGAAAAAUGAAUAACAGGCUCAUACUGUAAUUAUAGAUGAGGAUCAAUUGGUACUUUGUAAUUACUAGGUUGCAAUCAUGCCAGACUGAGUCCCAUCCCAACAGAAUCUUUCUCUAAAGCUACCAGAAGGCAUAUAAGGACAGGAUUAUUACAGCAGAAGAUGGCUGCACAAAGCCUCAGUGAAUAUGCAUGAUGCAUACACAAAGCAAGUAACACUUGGUGUUCCUGCAAUAAUUAACUUUGUAUACUGCUAGAGCUCUAAAGAAUCCUGGGAACAUCCAGUUCGACCACCUCAUUUUACAGAGAACUCUACUUGGGCCAGGGCAAUACUGACUUUUCCAGAUCAAACAGCUAAUAAAUAGCAAAUCC